GCCUAACACAUGCAAGUCGAACGGUAACAGGAAACAGCUUGCUGUUUCGCUGACGAGUGGCGGACGGGUGAGUAAUGUCUGGGAAACUGCCUGAUGGAGGGGGAUAACUAUUGGAAACGGUAGCUAAUACCGCAUAACGUCGCAAGACCAAAGAGGGGGACCCUCGGGCCUCUUGCCAUCGGAUGUGCCCAGAUGGGAUUAGCUUGUUGGUGGGGUAACGGCUCACCAAGGCGACGAUCCCUAGCUGGUCUGAGAGGAUGACCAGCCACACUGG
rnacentral:rRNA from 1 species